AUCCAGCCCAGCCACCCUGAGGUGCCUGUAUCUCCUCAACAAGCUCCCUCCCAAAUGUUUCCCUAAGGUCUGAGGAGCACCUGCAGCCUCCAUCCCCCAAGGUGACAUCCCUCCCUGGGCAGCUCUGCAAUCUAGGCUCACUGUCUCUGUGCUGAGCUGCAGUCCAGCACAGCAGCUCCCGCCUUCAUCCCCGACUUAGCCCAGGGCCAUGGUUAGAAGUGAGGUGCCUAGAAAUGAAACAGCUGGUCCUCUCUGUGUUUUCCAUCCAUCCUGCAAAAUCGACUCCUUGCUGCUGGGAUGACAAGAUGAAGUCCAAGCUCACGUCCUGGUGGGGUGGGAAGCGUGGGUGGAUGGAAAAAAAGGCAAAAAUGCCUAACUGUGAUGGAUGCUCUGCAGAGCUAAGAGGGGUCUCGUAGUAAAGGGGGACAGGCUGAUAGCUUUUAUUAGAGAUCGAGUCAGCGUCUCUGAGGGAUGACGUUUAUGCUGCGAACUCGGUGACAAGACGGAGCCAGGCAGAAAGUCCAGCUCAAGCUGCAUCCCCGAGGCAGCAGCAGACCACCUGCCCACUCCUUCUGCCUGCCCACUGCUUCCUCAUGCCCCACCUUCUGCAGCUUUUAGUCCCAG
rnacentral:lncRNA from 10 species